GGUUUCUCUGUGUAGCCCUGGCUGUCCUGGAACUCACUUUGUAGACCAGGCUGGCCUCGAACUCAGAAAUCCACCUGCCUCUGCCUCCCAAGGGCUGGGAUUAAAGGUGUGUGCCACCACCGCCCG
ensembl:miRNA Gm23638 predicted gene, 23638